AGAGCUGGAGCGGAGGCAAGAUGUUGGCAUAGCUGAUGAGUUAAGAACCUGCUAUGCCAACAUAUUGCCCUCUUUCCUG
rnacentral:pre_miRNA from 11 species